rnacentral:lncRNA from 1 species
UGGAAAAUAUUUGCAGAAUUAAACAGAUGAAUAUCAGGGGGGUGAAGGAUGUCCAUUGAACUGUUCCUGGGGGACAAGUACUACUGCCAGCUAGCACUGGCAGAAACAAUAAACCAGAUUUUGGCACUUGGAAAUGAACAGAGACACAGAGUACAGAAGAAAGAUAAAUAUUUUUGAAGUAGAAAAGACUAUAUGUGAGUUCAAUAUAGUCUUUUGGCUAAGAGCAAGAUAAUCUACAAAGAGAGUCUGUGAUUUAACAAGGCAACCCAAAAGUUUUAAGACCUGGAUUCCCAUCAGAAAUCUGAAGACUAUCCCUAGAGCUUCUGAUGUGGACAGAAAAACCUCAAUGAAAUAAAUAAAUGAAAGUUUAUGAUUUUGUCUGGGCC